CGUAGUUCGGCAUCGACUGUUAACGUUACAUUACAUAAUAAUAAUAUUGUAUUUUUUUUUUUACCACGGGUUUAAAAAUUAUUAUUUCAGUUUUUGUUUUACCAUUUCAACGCUAUAAUCGUUCAUGCAGCAAUGCCGUGUUUUGCCGUCUACACGUCCCACGUCUUUGGUGUACUCUUUAAAGCAUAAUUUAAACCGUCAUCUUAAAACUCAUGAUGGUGUUCGAUUUUACUGCGGUGAAUGUGAAUAUGAUUGGGAAACUAAAAUCAAUCUUACUCGACACUGCAAAAGGAAGCAUGCCGGAGCUGGUCAGGAUGGAAGACACGAGCGUUUAGAGCAACGUACUAGCGUUAUACAACACACAUCCAACAUCCUGACAUUAGG